GACGUUCUCGCCAUAUGUUCGUCACGAUGAGCGGCUGUUUGGUUGGAUUAGCAUUUUUUCGUUUCGAGGGUUUCUCUGGUUCCUCUCCUUCCUGUCGAUCGGCAGUCGACACCAAGGGCGAGAGUGAUGUCGAUCCUUCCGGACGAAAUUUGGAGUAGAAUUCUGGAGAUCGGGACGGAGACAUCUCGAUUGGGCUACCGGGAUCUCUGCUGCCUCUCCAUAUCCUGCCGCCGCCUCCGCCGCCUCUCCCAAGACCACGCCCUCUGGUCCACCCUUUUAGCUAUUGAUUUCCCCCAAGAAGGCCCUUCCUCUCUUCCCCAGACCCCCUCCAAAUCCCUCUACAAAACCAGAUUCGAGAGGGACAAGGCGCGGAGGCAUGCUGUCUGGAGGCGGGCGGUGCUUAAUGCCGAGAGCCAGGUGUUUGUCUGCAGGAAGAAAUUAGAUGACCUGGAGUCUCUUAUGUUGCGAGAGAGUGAGAGGAUGAAGGUAGCGGUGGAGGAAUUGGCGAAUUUUGAGAGAGUUAGCUCUUCCAGGAGGGCAUCUGUGGCUUUGAAUGUAUGGCAGCCGGAAGUUGUUCGUGGGAGCCAAAGACAGAUAGUUGAGCAGUGUACUGUGCCCAUUGAGUCUCGUCUUAGUGCUUUGAAGAUGGAAGCUAGAGUUUGUAAGCAACAAAUUGCGAUUUUUGAGAAGGCCUAUAAUGAGCAGAAGAAGAAGCUUAGUGAGUAUAAGGAAGCACUGAAAUCACUAAAAUAUAACCCUCUACAAAAUAAUCAAAGUGGUGCAACCAGUAGCAGUAGUAAUGCAAAGCGGAAGAAGUUGAAGCGAAGCAAUGAUUGCACAUCUCAUGAUGCUGUACAAAUGACAAUUUUACAGGUUAAUAAUUGAGAUCCAAGCUUUUCGUUUUAACAAAGGAAUCAUGAUAUAUGGGGAAGGGGAAGUGUCUAUCAACCAUAUAUUCUUGAAAUCAAUUAGAGUUCCAAAUGAGCUGGACAAGCAUUGACAUUGCAUCCAAUCUUCCAAUGUGCCAUGGCAAGUUGCGUCAGCUAUUGUGCCUUAAGUUCUUGAUUGCCCUAGGUUUCACCUCUUCAUAGUCUGCAGACUUUGGACUUGUAAAGAUGUUCAGAACUCAAAUUGCCAAAAGAGAUGGGCAAGUUGAUCAGUCUUGAGGCAUUUUCUUCUGCCUAACAUCUUACUUACCUCAAAAGGCUGGCUAUUUGAAACUAUGCCGGUUUAAAUCUUCUUAGCUAGGCAGGAGAUCUAUCUUUAGUGAACCUAUUUAACAUUGCUCUCUCUCUCUCAUUGGUGCUGAGUUACCCUGCCUGCUUGGGCAACAGCUCACCAUCAGAAAUCUCUCAAAAAGAUUUAUGAAGCUGAGCAUGUUGGAUGUGAGUUCUGCAGUCAUGGAGCACUCAGUUUUUUUUUUGGCUGAAGAUAUUAUCUUGUAGCAUAUGAUUAAUUGGAAGAUAUUCAGUGGAGUUAAGAAAGUUGUUUGCAUUAGGCUAUGGGGGUAUCUGAAGGCCGUUUGUGUUGGACUUCUACUUUUAGGGGGCAUCUGAAGGCUUCAUGUCAUUGUGCUGACUUUUCAAUUCAGUGCCAAAUGUGUUAUGUGGAUCUAUCUGUGGGUAAUGAGAUGUUUUACACAUUUUCUUUCAUCUUGUACUCCGCAUGGUGGGAAGGUUUCUGGAGGUAUCAAACCAGACACCACCCCAGAUUUAUAGGAUUAAUUGUCGAUCCAACAAUAAAUGGUAGAAGUAUUGGGUUGUUUAGUCUUU